GGAUGCGAUCAUACCAGCAGUAAAGCACCGGAUACCAUCAGAACUCCGAAGUUAAGCGUGCUUGGGCGAGAGUAGUACUAGGAUGGGUGACCUACUGGGAAGUCCUCGUGUUGCAUUCU
rnacentral:rRNA from 2 species